rnacentral:sRNA from 1 species
UCAGUAUUUGGGUCAAUCUUCGGACUUAUUCAGUGCCGACAGUUAUGAGACUGGGUUAGCUACCUAUCACUAUACUUAUAUCUAUAUCUUAUAUCUACCUUGAUAUCUAUCCAUACCGACCUCCUUAUCGGCACAGAUAUCUAUUUGAUUAUAUCUAUUACCUAUCUAUCCAAAUCUCACUGACCUUCUUAUCGGCGACAAUAUUAGCAUAUUCUAUAUCCUAUUGAUCUAUAUCUGCUUGAUCUAUAAUAUCAACAGAUUUGUUGAUUUCCUAUAUCAACAUUAUUCUAUCAAGAUGGCAACAGAAAUUAAUCCAUUCAAAUCAGCAAUUACCUUGAAUACUUCCAAGAACUGAGACCUUUGAUAUCAAUUAAUACUAUCACUUACCUUACAAUUGAAUGUACUGGAGCUUAUCAAUGAUGAAAAACCCAAUCAAAUUGAGCAUCUAUCAAUGCCUACUUUCUCAGAUGUUUCUAAUGAGUAUACUCUAGAAGUGAAAAUUGCUUGAGAGAUGCAGCAAGUAUAAUAUAACAAUGAGAUGACUCAAUAUCAAUAGAAGAUUGAUGGUGUUGGCAAGAUUCUCAGUGAGAUCCUUCAAACAGUAUCUGCUAGUGAGAUUCAGAUAGCUUCAAAAGAGAGCUUGUAACGGGCGUACUACUGAUUAAUAGUUUAAGCACUAUUCUAAUACAGUUUACAAAUUGAUUAAGGAAAGAAAGAAAGAGAAAGGAAAUCAAAAGAAAAAGAUCAUACAAGGGCAUUCUUAUGGAAGUGUGAGUGGAGUGGAAGAAUAUUAGAGAUCAUGUGAAGAA